rnacentral:lncRNA from 1 species
UAUAAUUUUUGUCUUUUGGAAAUUUUAAAAAUAUUUUUAUAUUUUAGAAUCAUGCCCAUCAGCAUUAAAUUACUUGCUGUCCACAUGCAGUCUAAGAAGGAAAUUGAGAUUGAGUUUACUGCAAUAUAAUGUUAUAGAUCCUCAAAGGGAUAUAUCUUCAUUUUCAAAAGAAGAAAAUAAAAUACCCGUACUCACUCCUGAAAACAGAUACUUAACUUCAAGAGUCACCAAAAGUUCACUUGAUGGCUGUUUUUUCUUUGAAAAUAGCUGGAAGAAAGCAGCUCUUGAAACACUAAAGAUGAAAAAAGAAUGCUCCUCAGUAUUUGGUCUGAAAGAUUUCAAGGAAGUGGGUACAAUUCCAUCUCUACCAGAAGUGCAAAGAUACAGAAAAAAUACAGAGUCUCCAUUAGAUGUGCUUAAAAGACAUCCGUAUACUCCUCUGAAGACACCUAAAAUCAGGUAGAUUUUAUUUUAGAUGUAUUUUAGGGGCUUCUUUGCAGAAAUGAUUUUGAUUAUUCUUUUGCCCAUUAUAAAUAUUUUAAUGAAGAAUUUAAAUUGUCUGCUUCAGUUGACAAUUUCUAUAUGUUAAGUGUUUUUCUUCCUUUGCCAAAUUUGGAUAGGCAGGAUAGAGUUAUGUAAUACUCCUUGAAACCUAGAAUAACCUAGGACUAUAUUUAACCUAAACACUUACCAUUGUGGGGAUGGAGCUUAUUGUGCAAUAGGGGGAGAAUUCUUUGUAAGAGAUGUAGGGCAGGAAACAAACAGGGUAAAAUGGGCUUGGGGAGUAGGAAGAGAACCAUAGGCAACCAUUAGUCAAGAUUGGUUGUUAUUCCACUCAAAACAGGUUUCGAAGCUAGUAGUCUACCCAGAUGCAUAGGUCUGGGAUGAGCACUAGACUUGGCCCCCAAAUUCCCUCAUUUGGAGAAGACACAAGGUCGUGGAUGAGUGUUCUUGGUCUAUAUAUGCAGGGUUGUCCUUCUGCCAUUUAAGUGUUUUUAUUUCCAAGCGACAAUCCUCUCCCUGAUCCUGCCAUGAGCAGAGCACCUCUGGCAUUGUGGCCCAACUUUUAUGCUGUAAUCUUGAGCUGAGAAAAUAUAUGCACAGAAGUCACUCAAACAAACAUCUUUAUAUCUGACUGUACAUAAAUGAUUUUUUGUACAAUAACGUUGUUUUGGCAGAAAAUAAAAGUGAGCCUCGUUAAAACCA